UACGUAGGGUGCAAGCGUUGUCCGGAAUUAUUGGGCGUAAAGAGCUCGUAGGCGGCUUGUUGCGUCGACUGUGAAAACCCCGCGGCUUAACUGCGGGCUUGCAGUUGAUACGGGCAGGCUAGAGUUCGGUAGGGGAGACUGGAAUUCCUGGUGUAGCGGUGAAAUGCGCAGAUAUCAGGAGGAACACCGGUGGCGAAGGCGGGUCUCUGGGCCGAUACUGACGCUGAGGAGCGAAAGCGUGGGGGAGCGAACAGG
rnacentral:rRNA from 1 species